rnacentral:rRNA from 2 species
UGACCUCAAAUCGGGUGAGACUACCCGCUGAACUUAAGCAUAUCAAUAAGCGGAGGAAAAGAAACUAACAAGGAUUCCCCUAGUAACUGCGAGUGAAGCGGGAAAAGCUCAAAUUUAAAAUCUGGUGGUCUUUGGCCAUCCGAGUUGUAAUUUAGAGAAGCGUCUUCCGCGCUGGACCGUGCACAAGUCUCCUGGAAUGGAGCGUCAUAGAGGGUGAGAAUCCCGUCUUUGGCAUGGACACACCAGGGCUUUUGUGAUGCGCUCUCGAAGAGUCGAGUUGUUUGGGAAUGCAGCUCAAAAUGGGUGGUGAACUCCAUCUAAAGCUAAAUAUUGGCGAGAGACCGAUAGCGAACAAGUACCGUGAGGGAAAGAUGAAAAGCACUUUGGAAAGAGAGUGAAACAGUACGUGAAAUUGUUGAAAGGGAAACGCUUGAAGUCAGUCACGUCGACCGAGACUCAACCUUGCCUCGGCUUGGUGUACUUCUCGGCUGACGGGUCAGCAUCAAUUUUGCCCCUUGRAUAAUGACGAGGGAAAUGUGACACCUUUAUGGUGUGUUAUAGUCUCUCGUCGCAUGCAAGGGUUGGGAUUGAGGAACUCAGCACGCGCCCUUUGGGUGUCGGGGCUUUGCCCACGAUACGUGCUUAGG